UACAGAGGGUGCAAGCGUUAAUCGGAAUUACUGGGCGUAAAGCGUGCGUAGACGGUUACAUAAGUCGGGUGUGAAAGCCCCCGGGCUCAACCUGGGAAUUGCAUUCGAGACUGCGUAGCUAGGGUGCGGAAGAGGGAAGCGGAAUUUCCGGUGUAGCGGUGAAAUGCGUAGAUAUCGGAAGGAACAUCAGUGGCGAAAGCGGCUUCCUGGACCAGCACCGACGUUCAGGCACGAAAGCGUGGGGAGCAAACAGG
rnacentral:rRNA from 1 species